rfam:Triticum aestivum genome assembly, contig: Triticum_aestivum_CS42_TGACv1_scaffold_344377_4DL
AUUGUACUCCCUCCAUCCCAAAAUUCGUGUCUUAGAUUUGUCUAGAUACGGAUGUAUCUAAUACUAAAAUGUGACUUGAUACAUCCGUAUCUAGACAAUACAUCCGUAUCUAGACAAAUCUAAGACAAGAAAUUUGGGACAGAGGGAGUAUAAU